rnacentral:rRNA from 1 species
GCGCAGCAGGCGCGAAACUUUACAAUGUGCGAAAGCACGAUAAGGGAACUCUGAGUGCCUCCUAAGGAGGCUGUUCAGGUGUCUAAAAGCACCUGGAGUAAGGGCUGGGUAAGACCGGUGCCAGCCGCCGCGGUAACACCGGCAGCCCAGGUGGUAGCCACUUUUAUUGGGUCUAAAGCGUCCGUAGCCGGUUGAGUAAGUUCCUUGGGAAAUUUGGCUGCUCAACAGUCAAGCUUCCAGGGAAUACUGCUCGACUUGGGGACUGGGAGAGGUCAGAGGUACUCCAGGGGUAGGGGUGAAAUCCAUUAAUCCCUGGGGGACCACCGGUAGCGAAGGCGUCUGACCAGACCAGGUCCGACGGUGAGGGACGAAGGCUAGGGGCGCGAACCGGAUUAGAUACCCGCGUAGU